rnacentral:rRNA from 1 species
UACAGAGGUCCCAAGCGUUGUUCGGAUUCAUUGGGCGUAAAGGGUGCGUAGGCGGCUCAGUAAGUCGGGUGUGAAACCUCCAGGCUCAACCUGGAGACGCCACCUGAUACUGCUGUGGCUAGAGUCCGGUAGGGGAGCGUGGAAUUCCUGGUGUAGCGGUGAAAUGCGCAGAUAUCAGGAGGAACACCAGCGGCGAAGGCGGCGCUCUGGGCCGGAACUGACGCUGAGGAGCGAAAGCGUGGGUAGCAAACAGG